rnacentral:rRNA from 1 species
AUUGAACGCUGGUGGCAUGCUUUACACAUGCAAGUCGAACGGCAGCGCGGGCUUCGGCCUGGCGGCGAGUGGCGAACGGGUGAGUAAUACAUCGGAACGUGCCCAGUAGUGGGGGAUAGCUCGGCGAAAGCCGGAUUAAUACCGCAUACGACCUGAGGGUGAAAGCGGGGGAUCUUCGGACCUCGCGCUAUUGGAGCGGCCGAUGGCAGAUUAGCUAGUUGGUGGGGUAAAGGCCUACCAAGGCGACGAUCUGUAGCUGGUCUGAGAGGACGACCAGCCACACUGGGACUGAGACACGGCCCAGACCCCUACGGGAGGCAGCAGUGGGGAAUUUUGGACAAUGGGCGAAAGCCUGAUCCAGCAAUGCCGCGUGUGUGAUGAAGGCCUUCGGGUUGUAAAGCACUUUUGGCGGGAACGAAAAGGACUGUGCCAAUACCACGGUUCGAUGACGGUACCCGCAGAAUAAGCACCGGCUAACUACGUG